rnacentral:rRNA from 1 species
UACGGAGGAUGCAAGCGUUAUCCGGAUUUAUUGGGUUUAAAGGGUGCGCAGGUUGUUUGAUAAGUCAGUGGUGAAAGUCUGUCGCUUAACGGUAGAUUGCCAUUGAUACUGUUGGACUUGAAUAUGGAUGAGGUAGGCGGAAUGUGUAGUGUAGCGGUGAAAUGCAUAGAUAUUACACAGAACACCGAUUGCGAAGGCAGUUUACUAAUCCAUCAUUGACGCUGAGGCACGAAAGCGUGGGGAUCAAACAGGA